UUCCGGUUGAUCCUGCCGGACCUGACUGCUAUCGGAUUGAUACUAAGCCAUGCGAGUCUCUGUAGUAAUACAAGGCAGACGGCUCAGUAACACGUAGUCAAUCUACCCUAUGGACGAGGAUAACCUCGGGAAACUGAGAAUAAUACUCGAUAGAUCAUUAUGCCUGGAAUGGUUUAUGGUCGAAAUGAUUUAUCGCCGUAGGAUGGGACUGCGGUCUAUCAGCUUGUUGGUGAGGUAAUGGCCCACCAAGGCUAUAACAGAUACGGGCUCUGAGAGGAGAAGCCCGGAGAUGGGUACUGAGACACGGACCCAGGCCCUAUGGGGCGCAGCAGGCGAGAAAACUUUGCAAUGUGCGAAAGCACGACAAGGUUAAUCCGAGUGUUUUCUGCUAAAGAAAUCUUUUGUCAGUCCUAAAAACACUGAUGAAUAAGGGGUGGGCAAGUUCUGGUGUCAGCCGCCGCGGUAAAACCAGCACCUCAAGUGGUCAGGAGGAUUAUUGGGCCUAAAGCAUCCGUAGCCGGCUCUGUAAGUUCUCGGUUAAAUCUAUACGCUCAACGUAUAGGCUGCCGGGAAUACUGCAUAGCUAGGGAGUGGGAGAGGUAGACGGUACUCGGUAGGAAGGGGUAAAAUCCUUUGAUCUAUUGAUGACCACCUGUGGCGAAGGCGGUCUACUAGAACACGUCCGACGGUGAGGGAUGAAAGCUGGGGGAGCAAACCGGAUUAGAUACCCGGGUAGUCCCAGCUGUAAACUAUGCAAACUCAGUGAUGCACUGGCUUGUGGCCAGUGCAGUGCCGCAGGGAAGCCGUUAAGUUUGCCGCCUGGGAAGUACGUACGCAAGUAUGAAACUUAAAGGAAUUGGCGGGGGAGCACCACAAGGGGUGAAGCCUGCGGUUCAAUUGGAGUCAACGCCGGGAAUCACUAG
rnacentral:rRNA from 1 species